rnacentral:pre_miRNA from 19 species
CAUGUACUCCCUCCGUCCCAAAAUUCUUGUCUUAGAUUUGUCUAAAUACGGAUGUAUCAAGUCACGUUUUAGUAUUAGAUACAUCCGUAUCUAGGCAAAUCUAAGACAAGAAUUUUGGAACGGAGGAAGUAUAAG